UACGUAGGGUGCAAGCGUUAAUCGGAAUUACUGGGCGUAAAGCGUGCGCAGGCGGUUAUGUAAGACAGAUGUGAAAUCCCCGGGCUUAACCUGGGAAUGGCAUUUGUGACUGCCCGGCUAGAGUGUGUCAGAGGGGGGUAGAAUUCCGACGUGUAGCAGUGAAAUGCGUAGAGAUGUGGAGGAAUACCGAUGGCGAAGGCAGCCCCCUGGGAUAACACUGACGCUCAUGCACGAAAGCGUGGGGAGCAAACAGG
rnacentral:rRNA from 1 species